UCUUACCAAAAUUACCUUCGCUUAAACAAUAAACAGCUGGGAUAUUUGCUAGCAUUAGUGAAAGAUGACAUAACCAAACAAGAUACCCACUUACGAGAGUGUAUCCCCGCUAGAAGCAAAUUACAAGUUACUCUAAGAUUUUUGGCAACCGGAGAGACGUUUCGAUCCCUUAUGUACGCAACAAGGAUUCACGAAACUACAAUUAGUCGUUUCAUACCCGAGGUGUGCAACGCAAUCGUGUUAAAAUUGAAACCAAAUUAUUUGAAGACACCAAACACGCCAGAAGAGUGGAAUAAAAUUGCGGAUGAUUUUAAUAAUUUAUGGCAGUUUCCACACUGCAUUGGAGCACUCGAUGGACGCCAUAUAACAUUCAGAGCCCCAAU